ACCUGUUUCUAGUUUCUUAAGAUAGAAGCAGAAGUAAUUUAUUUGAAAUCCUUCUUUACUAAUGUAAGCAUAAAUUUUCCUAUAAGCACUUCUUUAGCAACAUUCUAUAAAUUAUAAUAUAUAGCAUUUUCAUUUUCAUUCAGUUCAAAAUACUAUAAAUAACUUCCCUUUGGUUUCUUCUUUGACACAUGAAUUACUUACAAAUGCAUGUGUUGGGUAUUGUUCCCUCUGUCUCCAAUGGCUUCCCUUGAGGGUAUUGUCCCUCAAGUCUCCAAUGGCUUCCUCACAUGUGUGCACUGACCAAAAUCCUGUGCAGAUCAUCAACGUCCUGUUUCCAUGUGUCUCUUUCCUGUCCAGUGCUGGUCCUAUGCAUUCGAUCUGCCUUUGUUGCUCUUAACUCAGCUUCAUCUCUUCAACGUGGAGUCUUCUAGACUCUGCCUGAGUUCCUCCCUCCUGCCACAGCCUGGAAACUCCCUCAAGGCAGUGAUCUGGGGCAGUUGUAGGGUUCCCCUUAUUUGUUUCUGCCUUUCAAGGAUCGUUGCCCUUCACUUCUUGAGGUCUAGUGUUUUGAAAACCAUUAUUUCAUAUAUUUUGUCUGGUCUUUUCGUUGUUUCAGGUGGGAAAAGAAAUCCAGUCCUUCUUACCCACUGUGGUUGGAUUCAGAAGUAAGGCUAGUGAGCUUUUACUUGCUUAUUUUUAUUAAUUUAUUUACACCAUUUACUAUAAACUAUUUUGAUUUAUUGUUUUUAUGUGUAGCUUUUCUGCUAUUUAGGAUGGUUUGUAUUUCAGUUCUAGUGGUUACUAGUUUAAUUAUGUCUUUAUAUAAUAACUUUUGUUCUUUAUGCUUUUUGGACAGUAUCUAUUAAUUAGUUCAUUACUCUAAGCCACGACACAAUCAGUAUGCUUAUCUUCCUCUUACUCCUCUUCUUAACAAACCAGUGCCCGUCAACAUUAUCUUUCUUGGUGUGUAUGUUUGCAUGAGUAUUUAUGCAAUUAAGCUUAUAUUUCUACUACUUCAGUCUUCCACUCCUCGCCCCCUCCCCCCAUUCUUACAUCUUCAGUAUAAUUUCCUGGUAGGAUAAGGGAGGAAAUGUUAACUUGAACGGACAUAUUUGCAUCAGAAGUCCCAAAAGCAUCAGUAUAGGAUACAGAGACAUGUAUCUGAGCCCAGGCUCCCUAAUCACCAGCUCUAUGGUGACCUUAAGAUAGCUGCUUAAGCUGUCAGACCACCAUCCCCUAGUUAAGAUGGGACAAUAAUAUCUAUCUUUUGAGGUUGUGACGAGACUAGAACGAGAGAAUACAUGUGAGAUGCUUAGCAUAAAGCCCAAGGCAUACAAAACACCUAUAAAAUAUUGGUUAGUAAUAGUAGCCUCGGUAAGAAAAAUCAAUAAGAAAACAUCCAUGGAGUACAAACCACACACCAGGUACUGCAACAGCUGUCUCACAUUCUGUACUUCAUUUAAUCUUGACAGUGAACCUGUGGUCAAUACAUUGCCCUCAUUAGAGAUGAGGGGGAGACUAUGAGAGGUUAAGAAUAAACCAAAGUCACUCAGUGCAUAAGUGACUGUGGCAGAAUUAAGACUCAAAAUUCUGAUGCCAUGUCUAGAGCUCUCUUUCUCUCCCCCCUGCUCUACAGCUGCCUUUAUGAUCCUGAGCUCUGCCCUGCUAAUGAAAGUGUGUGCACACACAUUCACACAAACAUGUGUGCCCUCACUUUAUUCUGAGAACAAACUUGGCCUCACAGCUCAGUAUAUAGACAGGAUACACCUGGGCGAAUAUAAUUUGCCUAUUUUUCCAAACUCUAGGUUCAGAGUCUGGCUUGCAGACAAGGUACAGAUGGAAAUCUUCCUGGAUUCAGACCAAGAAGAGAAGAAAGGGUGGGAAAGGCUUGCCCCAUGGCCUGUAGUAACACUGAGUAAAUACUACUUAGACUGAGGUUGGGAGAGUAGUUGGAGGAAUCAUGCUAUUGACAACUGCGGCUUGUCUAGCACUUUACCAAGUUCUUCAGCAUCCGCACCCUCCUGGACUUUCCAUAGAAGUUUUAUUGCCGAGGAAAUGGAGGCUGAGAGAGGUUAACGUUUUGCUCGAGGCCACAUAUAUAAAUUGGUGAUAGGGCCUAGACAACAAUCCCAGAUCUCCUCAAUGAUUGUCCCGUGCUUUUCUCAUGACAUGCGUUUGACUUCAUGGAUAGCAUUUACCCUUUCACAGUUCUGCUGGGGGUAUGACUAGGCCCCAUAGAUGUGUAAGGGGAGAAUCAAUAUUUAACUGGACCUGUCCAGUCUUUAGCACUAUAUUAUGAGUGGCAACAGAUAAAGAGACAUAAAAGUGGUCUUUGUUCUCAGUACUCAUUUAUUUAUUCAUUCAUUCAUUCUAAAAGUUCACUGGGUGCCAAGAUCUUGUUAGGAGUUGGGGAAUACUCUUCAAGGGGCUUAUUGUAUAAUGAAAGAAACAGAUUCAAAAUGCAACUGUUCCAGUUCAGUGGGAGAAGUUAAAUUAAGAGUAUUUGGGUGAUGGGCAUCUCACCAAAAGCACUUCACUAUCAAUGGGGAAUGGGAUCUAAGAAGGCAUCCCCAAAGGAGGUGAGUGUGGAAGGAUCCAUAGGAGCUGAAGAAGUGGGAUUUGCCACCAAAAGAGGCACAAGUGAGCAUGUUUCUUUCAGAGGCCCACAAGUGAUUCCGUGUGUCAAGUCCAGGGAAGGCUGGGAGCAAAGCUGAAAGGUACUCGGUGUUCCUGCAGAGGAGUUUAGACAUCUGCAGAGGGUGGAAAGACAUUCUAAAAUGUAAGAAGAGUAGUAAUAGGACCAGCUUUGGCUGGAAAGCUCACUGUGGUACAGGUGGGAAGAAUGGACUAACGGGGGAGGGAGCAGUGAAGAGGCUGGCUGAGGUUAGGGGUGUGGCAAUGGGAAUGGGGUGAAUUAUUCUGGCUCACCCCUACUCACAUGGAAGGGUCAGCAUAGACAACAGCUCAGAGAAGGACCUUCAGUCUGGCUAGAAGCUCUUCUUACGGCACCCUGAAAAUUUUCUCCCAUCCCCUAGAGCAGAGGCAGAGUUUGGUGGUGGUUAAUAGCAAUGGCUCCAAAGCCAGCUUUUAGGACACUACACCAUACCUCCACUGCUAACUAGCUGUGUGACCUUGGACAAGCUGCUUGUUCACUCUGUUGCCUUAGUUUCCUUAUCUAUAAAGUGAUGAUAAUAAGUGUACCUAGCUCUUAGGGUUAUUGUGCUUAAAUCAUUUAAUGCAUGUAAACCACAUAAAACAGUGUCUGGCAUUGAGGAAAUGUGCAGUUAAGCGUCGGGUUUUAGUAUCAUUGUACCCAUUCACCGGAAGGGAAAGUGUAUGUUCCUGGGUGCACCUGGCCAGUGUGAGAGCCUCCUGGGGACAGGUAUCCUCAGUCCAGCAGAGAGCCUGGGACACAGCAGACUCUCAGUGAAUAUCUGCUGAAUGGAUUAAAGGUGAUACUAAUGACAAAGAGAUAUUUAGGAGUUAAAUCAUGCAUCACUGGGGGGAACUGAUCAGACAUUAGGGAGAGGGUUAAGUGAAGAGAAUGAGUAAUUACUAAGGUUCUGAACAGGGCAGGAAGAUGAUGGUGUUUUCACAGCUGAGACAGGGAAUUUGAAAGAAGGAGCUGAAUCAGAGGGUUAGAUGGGCAACACGUGCAAGACCAAACCUAUAAGACAGAAAGAAGCUGAGGUUUGAACUCAGGUCUACUGAGUUCAUAUUCCAUGAACAGUUUCUAUAACCUGCAUGUCUAUGCAGAGCACAGUACCUAAUGCAGUAGGGACCCCAUAAUGCAGAUUGAAUGAGUUGGCGAAUGCUUGAAUGAGUAGACGCCUUUUAUGAAUGCCAGGGGAGCACGGUUGCUUGUCUUUUCAAUGACAAAUAGAUGUCUGUGUGGAGGUUAAAAUAAAAAAUGGAAGAAAGAAAUCAAACAUCGCCGUAAGAUUUAAAAUUAAAACCUAGUAACCAAUAUUGUAAGUGAAUGAAAUGGGAGCCAUCUUCCUUCUUUUUCCCUUUUUCUGACACAUCAGGACAUUUUUUAUUCUCUCUAGCUUCACAACAUACUCUUGCAAACUGCUAGGAAGGAUGACUAAAACUGCCCACCAGGAAGUUUUGCAAAGCCCAAGCCAAAAAAAAAAAAAAAAAAAAAUCAAGGAAUCUAGGAACAUAAGAAAAUGCCUAGUGACAAGGGGGGGCGGUUACGCAGGCUCCUCCACGGAUGACUCCAAGUUCAAUCACCACCCCUUCGACACAAGCUUAAGUGAAGCCACUGGAGGGACCCGCAGCUGAGCAGCAGAGCAGAAAGAACCUUCUGCAAGAGUUCCUACUUGGAAUCGUGGGGUUGUGCAGAGUUUAACUUCGUCCAAGCGAGUCUUCUUGAAGCAUCAAGCACAAAGCCUACAUUCCCAAUGCAGGUUCCUCAGAACAAGUGCUCCUCAGAGCCUUGUGUGAGAAUCACAGCGGAGUCAGAACCGGAGAGAUUACAGGGAUUAUCCACCUUACUCAAAUGAGCGCAUGAACACCUUUUAUUAACAUCUUCAGCUUUGAGAGACUUAUUACCUGUGAAGACAGCUUGCUCCGUUCUUGCAUCCAUGUGGUGGUUACAACAGGACUGCCGGACAGAAGGAGACUGCAAGCCAUGUGCAUAAUUCAAGAUUUCCCAGAACCUACAGGGAAAAAAGUGAAAAAGAACAGGCAAAAUUCAUUUUAAUAACAUCUAAUUGAUUAACCCAGUGGAUCUAAAAAUAAUAUUUCAACAUGGUGUCAGUAAGAAAGUGGUUAAUGGGAUAUUUUUUUCUUUAUUAAAAGAAGUCUUUGAAAUCCAGACUAGCCCCAUUUCAAGGGUCCGAAGGCCAUGUCUGGCUAGUAUCUAGCGUGUUGGAUGGCACAGGGUUAAAAGCUUCUUCUUUUAGGCCAAGCAAAACUCUUCCUGCUUGGGCCUCAGAUUCAAGGGCUUGUCCUAAGGAUACAGAACUUCACCACUCCCCUCCCCACCAAGAUGAGGUCUGUUUUGGCUACUUAUUUGCACAUGCGUUUCAAGGAUCCCCAUCAUGGAGCUCAAUGCCCUGGCAGUGGUCUGCUCAGGUCUGUCUCCCCCUUUCAGAAGGCUUUCCAAACCUCAAACUGCUCUAUAAAUAAAAGGCCUUAUUCUCCUAACUCCUAGGAGGGCAGGCAUAGAGUCAUCCAGGAUUUUUAGUGGUCUCAUUACAUGGUUAUGUUAAAUUGAACCCAAAGGCUGCUGCUAAUACUGUGUCUGGCCCAGAGCUACUCCUUUCUGUUCCCUGGGCCUCAGUUUCCCUGUCUGUCAAAGUUCAGAUUUCUAUGAUUCAGACCCAUUCUGCCUCUUCCUAUCCACACCCCUCUUUGCCUACUUACUAAAUUUCCCUUGAAAGUAGGUCUUAAUGUAGAGGUCAGGAAAUAGUCAUAUCCUCCCAGAUACCAUCAUAAUAAGCAUUUUUUGAACAUUUCUCAUGUGUCAGGCACUGUGCUAAGAGCCUUAUAAAUAGCAUCUCAUUUAAUCCUCUUCACACCUGACUGAACUCAACACUAGCAUGAUCCCCUUUUAUAAUUGCAGAAACUGAGGCAUCAAGCAUCUGAGUCAUAGGUCCCACACCCAAUAAAGGGAACAGCUGGAAAUUCCAGCCCAGGGGCCUUUUCCCGGUUCCCAAACCCAGGAGGGGAAUGCAGGCCCAGACCAUGGACCUGAGUGAGGCCCAGGUCUCAGACUGCGACAGAGGGAACAAGGGCCCAGGGUAACAACAACAACAGCAACAAAGUUUUUUGCUUUUUAUUGUUGUUGUUGCUGCUGCUAAAACCCACCGAGUGUCCUCCUCCUGUUUGGCGGAGGAAGGAAAUACUGUUAUACUUUCCUUGCUAAGGAAAUCCUACUCUUCACAAGUCAACUUUCUUCCCAUCCCCUUGACCUUUCAGGAAAGGGCCCACGGCCCCUGGAAAGGCUCUGGAGGAGACCUGAGGAGCUCAGCAUGCCCUGUCUAGGGCAGGGGUAUUUUUAGCUCAGGCUGCACUGUUUACAAGGAAGCCAGUCCUCUGAGCCUGCCCUCUCCCUCCAGGCCCCACCCGCCACGGGCUCCUCUGGGCCCUUCCUUCCUCCCUCCUGGAGGCUCCUUCCCCACCAUCUCUGUCAGUGUUUGGGCUCCAUCAGCACACGGGUGCACGGUCACGACCGCCCCGGGAGAUGACUGAACAAAGCCACGGCCCAGGGCACCGACAGCCUUCUGGAAGGGCCCGCUGUGACCUGGCACUGCAGAAAGACAAGAAGCUGCCACCGGUUGAGAAAAGGCCUGGGCAGCUGGCGACUGACUGAAAAUCCUAUAAAUGGGUUCAGCCCUGCUGCCAGCACUACGGUGUGCCAGGUGCUCUCCGCUGUGACAGGUCGCUGACCCUCCUUGGCCUCCCUCGGUGCAGCUGGAGAGCAAGGAGGGCUCCAGGAGGUAGCGGGGGAUGGGGGGGGGGGGCUCUGCCUUAUGAGCCUCCUCCGCUGUUAGGCGCCAAUCCUUGCCCCUGCCCUGUGGAGGUGGCGGCAGGUGUUAAACAGGGGAAUGGAGGAAAAGCCCGCACGCACAGUGGGCAUGCAAGCCACGGCGGCCUCUGUAAUAAUCUCCAUCUCUCCAGCACUUCACGAAGCGUCUGGCAACAAGGCAGUUCUCCACCGAACGAGGCUUCCCUUUAUUCCCGCAGCUCCACGUUCUCUCACCUCUAAGUCUGUACAGAACCGCUCCUCCAACCUUGCCCUUUUUUAAGUAUUCAGUCCUCUCGCCCAGCCCGGCACCCCUGUACCUGCUGU